CCUACGGGAGGCUGCAGUGGGGGAUAUUGCACAAUGGGGGGAACCCUGAUGCAGCGACGCCGCGUGAGUGAAGGAGCGUUUCGGCGCGUAAAGCCCUAUCGGCAGGGAAGAAGAAGGACGGUACCUGACUAGGAAGCCCCGGCUCACGACGUGCCAGCAGCCGCGGUAAUACGUAGGGGGCAAGCGUUAUCCGGAUUUACUGGGUGUAAAGGGGGCGCAGACGGCAGCGCAAGCCAGGAGUGAAAGCCCGGGGCCCAACCCCGGGAGUGCUCUUGGAACUGCGCGGCUGGAGUGCAGGAGGGGCAGGCGGAAUGCGUGGUGUAGCGGUGAAAUGCGUAGAGAUCAGGAGGAACCCCGGUGGCGAAGGCGGCCUGCUGGACUGCGACUGACGUUGAGGCCCGAAAGCGUGGGGAGCAAACAGGAUUAGAUACCCCGGUAGUC
rnacentral:rRNA from 1 species